UUCAACCUCAAGGGGUGCUGGGUUAGCCGGCUGAGAUAGUAUCCGUGAAAGCGUGUUAGAUACGUACCCUUUAAACCUGAUCUGGGUAAUGCCAGCGUAGGAAUGGAGAGAAUUCGAGUG
rnacentral:ncRNA from 2 species